rnacentral:lncRNA from 1 species
AGGCGACCGACGCUGAAAGGGCCGCGGAGUCGCGUGUCAGGGCUGGAGGGAGAUCUUGAGGUCCUCCCAGUGACUGACCUGGCUCAUUCUCCGAAAGUGGUUGACAGGCCACUACGAGAGCUCUUGAGAGAAGCUUUGUGACAUGAAAUUCAUCAAAUGAAGCAAGAUUCAUUUUUAAAGAAUAAUACAAAGCUCCAGAGUAAUAUGCUUAAUCCAAAUGUUUAAAUAGAAUUUAAAACCACAUUUUAAGUAAAUUUAAAAUUAAUGAAAUAUCAAUAGUUUGCCUUA